rnacentral:rRNA from 1 species
UAGAGUUUGAUCCUGGCUCAGGACCAUCGCUGGCGGCGUGCUUAACACAUGCAAGUCGAACGAAGCACUACCGACGGAACUUUUCGGAGGGAAGAUGGUAAUGACUGAGUGGCGGACGGGUGAGUAACGCGUGGGCAACCUGCCCCAUAGAGGGGGACAACAGCUGGAAACGGCUGCUAAUACCGCAUAACAAGGAGAGAGCGCAUGUUCUUUUCUUCAAAGAUUUAUCGCUAUGGGAUGGACCCGCGUCUGAUUAGCUGGUUGGUGAGGUAACGGCUCACCAAGGCGACGAUCAGUAGCCGGCUUGAGAGAGUGGACGGCCACAUUGGGACUGAGACACGGCCCAGACUCCUACGGGAGGCAGCAGUGGGGAAUAUUGCACAAUGGGGGAAACCCUGAUGCAGCGACGCCGCGUGAGUGAAGAAGUAUUUCGGUAUGUAAAGCUCUAUCAGCAGGGAAGAAAAAAGGACGGUACCUGAGUAAGAAGCCCCGGCUAACUACGUGCCAGCAGCCGCGGUAAUACGUAGGGGGCAAGCGCUAUCCGGAAUUACUGGGUGUAAAGGGAGCGUAGACGGCAAUGCAAGUCCGGAGUGGAAUGCGGCAGCUCAACUGCCGAACUGCUCUGGAAACUGUAUGGCUUGAGUGCA